GGAGACGGCCACCGCAGGGUUGGCGGACUUGAGAAGGAGCAAAGAUGGCGGAGUUUUGAAUCAAAACGGUCUUGUCUUCAACCAGAAGAGAUUAUUCAAGUUCAGUUUGGAAUUAAGGUAUUUCUGUGUUGUCUCCUGAGUGAGGUUGUCUUGCUCCAAUUAUUGGGCCACCUUCCCCAUUAAAAUGUGGAUAUCUCUUCUCUACACAUUACCUCUGUGAUUUGGAUUGGAAAAGGCUGCUUUUCUUUUCGUUCCACCUUCUCAGAUUCAACACAGAGAAGCUCCUGGGAUGCAUUCAUCCUGCCAACUUCUCCAGGAAAAAAGAGGCAACUGACAUGCAUCUUCUGCUGCUCUUUGCUUAAUCACAAAGAAAUUAUUUGACAUGCUAAAGGCCGGUACCUAAUUUAAAGCAGGUGCUUAAAUGGUGAUAUCUGUGAGUUCUUUACAUUUUGUUCCAAACAAGAAAACUAAAUAAAUAGCAAGUAUGGAUGACAUGAGGGUUUUUUUUUUUUAAUGUCUUCCAGUUUUUGUCACCAUCAUGAUACGUACGCAUAGUUGAGACUGCAGCAGUAGAUUCCAAAUUAUGCGUUCUAAUUUGAAAUGAGAUGCUUUAAAAAUUACACAUAUCUAAAUCCUGGCUCAUCCUCUGACAUGGAUUUACUAGAUAAGAACAAAGGUCCAAUUUCGCAAUAAAACCUUUGAUGUCAUAAAGAAACAUAAAGACAAGAUAUCACAAGGUUAAUUUCAUAUGUGAAUAGACCAUCUCAACUAUAAAUACACAUUUUUACACGUGUAAAUCCACAUUUUUGGCUGAUAAGAGGGAUUUUCUCCUAAAGAAGGAAGCUGUGCUGACUUCUUUCUUAGAAGUCUUUGGAUACUUGGUAUUUUUAAAUUUUUUUUUUCCAUUCUGCUAAGGAAAGACCACAAUGUUUAGAUGGUAACCCUAUUGAAUGCCUGCUUGCGUUUAGUGAAAGGUUGGUAAAAGGAAACAAAACAGUUUUGAGUCCAGUGAUGGAACCCUCUUCACCUUCCUAGGAUGAGAGACUACUGUAUUGCAGAUUACUUCAUUCACUUUUUGGACAUUAUAUAGCACUUGAGACUUGGUUUUACAUGCUGCUGAGGCUGGAAGAAAAGUGGCAUAAGUGGUUUUUCUGUUCAGAAGAUGUGAUGGACCCUACAGUAUGACCUGCCUUCAACUUUGGACCUAGAGGAGUGGCAGAAAAAAUGAUGACAGUCUUCAUACUAUUUCUUUCUCCUAAGGAAAAAAAGUGAAAAUGCUUUAUGCAGCUCCAUCUCACUUUAUGGCACUUCACAUUCUACAGCUCUGUUUUCUGUAAAAGCAUAAAUGACUUCUUUCCUUUGACCCGGGAUAGGUUCUUGGGUGUUUGAUUUAUUUUUUUCUAGGCAAAUAGGUGUAAUGUUCGGCUGAAAAGGCUGGGACUCAGGUAACUUUCCCUAGUUGGAAAUGAACUUUCUAAUGGGCCUCAGAAGAAAUGUUAGGAGGGUCAGUGUAAAUUUAGAAGAAAAUCAGGGUAUGAAAAAAAACACUUAAACAAGAAAAAUAGUUCUAAUAAAUAAUAGUUUCCUCUCUGUUGAAACAUACUAUCUGAUGAAUGGACUAUCGCGUAAAGCUGUCCUUGCUUCCACAUCAACAAAGGACCGUUGUAUGAUUGGCCAGGUUUUUACAUAAGAAGAAUGACACCUUAAAUUAUAAGUCCUUGUGAGUAGAGAAAGAAUUUAAAGCUACUUAGAAGAAAUUACGAACAAGUCAUCUCAGAUCAUCUUUGUAAUAGAGGGAACGCCCCCAGGGCCAUACAUGCUGUGCUGCUGAAAUCUUGGGGAAGAUUUACCAGAAUUUGAGGGUAGUAGAAAUAGCCAAAAAUGUGAAAUACUGAGCACUCUUAAUGAUUAGUUAAGUUGGUCAACCAACUUGAAUUGGCAUUAAGAAAGCGUUUUAGUAAAAUAAAUAAUACAGAUAAAGCCUAAUUUCCUUUAAUUGAGGGCAAUUAUUGAGUAGUAAAGCACAGUAGAAGUAAUUUUGGAUAAAGGUAACUUAAAUUUUUCUGUAAGUAACUUCUCAGCCAUUUCCUGAUGUUUUCUUUCAGUAUUUUAGAAUCAUUAAAGACAAUGGAAACCUCCACACAUGAAUUCCAUUGCUGUGUUGAGCUUGUCAUAUAUAUUACCAUGGAGAAUUUGCAUCUUUACAGUUGUCUGUUAUCCAUCUUACCCAUGUUUGGGGGCAACUUUUUGGCAGGAGAUAGAGUCCCUGUACUAUUAGCAACAGUGAAACCGUCUCUACUUGUUUGAAUAUAUGUAUGUACCAGACUCAGCUUCUCCAGUUGCUUUAUAUAUUUUUGUUUCACAGUUAAGAGAAUGACUGUUUAAUGCUCUCUUUCAAGUUGUUUCUGCAUUUUCUAUGAUUUUCACCAGAUGGCAUUUAGCGCAAUGGGUAUAUUCCAGUUGUGCUUACCUAGCGUUUGCUUACAUCUACAUUGUUUUUUUCUGGUCUAUUUUUGGUUCCCUUCUUGAUGGCAAAGCUAUAAUUUUAGGCAGGACUGUGCCUCAGUCUAUAGCUGUGCCUACUUCCUUUACUCAUCCAUGUUAGCUGGCAGUUUUCUUUUAAAAAGUUGAACAAAAACGGGAUAUGUGCAAUAGAAAUAUAUAUAUGUAUAUUUUAAUACUUGUGGACAAAUGUUACAAGUUGUUUAAGAACAACAAAAUCACCAAUGUCUUCCAUUUUGAGAUGUGUAUAGUUUUGUAAGCAUUAGUGCUUGGUAGCAUAUUGUAGUGCCAUGUUAGGGGUUAGUGCAUGAGCCUAGUAAUAAUUUAAACUUCAGGAUGAAUUAUUGAUAAUAACUAAUAGUGUAAAAAGAGUGGAAAAUCUAGAUCUUUUCUUUUCUCAUAAAUAUCUGAAUCUGUGAUAUUCUCCCUGGGGAAAAGAGCUUAAGGCCAAAAAGACUCAUUUAUGAAUAGAAAUGUGGGGUCACAAUGUGAAAUACUGUCUUUGAGGAUAUUUGAGCUUUUUAUGAGUAGCUGGAAACCAGCUGCCUUUAUGUCUUACAAAACCUUAAUUCAAAAUGAGGCCCCAUUUCAUGACUCUGCUCUCUGAGUUUGAAGUCAGAUUGUUCUGGCAUUGUUUUCACGUUGUCUUCUAGGUUUAUUAUGUUCCCAUUCCUUUUGCAUCAGAUUAUAUUUUGCAUGUCUUACUGAGAUGCUGUGUUAAUUGCUCGAGUGCUUUUCUAAUCUGCAGACCAUUUAUGUUUCCUGUCUGCGGUGUGCUAUGUGUUAAUGGAAGAACUCUGGUCAGUGUCUUAGAUUAAUUUUUCACAGGCAUUUCCUGUUUCUAAAUCUGCUGAAUUGUGUACUGUUGCGAUUCCAGACCUUUUCAUGAGAAUCAGAAACAUUGUUAAAUGGAGCCUGCCUAGAUUGCUGUGUAUUAACUAACUCUGCUUGGUUAUAGUAAAUUGCCUCAGAUAGCUUUCACAUUUUUCUACUUUCCUUGUAGAAAUAAAAGUUGUUUUGUUCUGAAAGCAAAGAUAUUCCUACCUCUAAAAAGCUUUCUUGAGAACUCUGAAACAGUAGUUUUCUAGGGUGAUUUUUAAAUUUCAGUAUUAGGAGAGUCUAGAAUUUAUUGACAUAGAUUCUACAGUUAGUAUGAUAGGAAAGGCAAAACUUUUUUUAAAUUAUUUUAUUGGAGUAUAGUUGACUUAAAUGUCAUGUUAGCUUCAGGUUACAGCAAAGUGAAUCAUUUAUGCAAAACUUUUUUAAUGUGGUGUGUCACAUGUGCAGAAGUAGGCUUAAACAAAUUGACUCUUGGGCAACAGAUCUCCAGGGACCCAGGUUUAGAUUCUCAUGGUGUACUUAAAGUAAUUGUACUCUUGGUUUCAAGUAGUGUAGUGCCUGGGAGACUCCAUUUCUGAAAACCAUUUAAACAUUUUUGAAAAAUACCUCUGAAAAGGUAAUGAAUGCAAAAUAGCACAGUAUAUAGGAAAGGAUGUUUCUUGUUGAAAAAAAAAAAAGCCAUAAAACAAACUAAUAAUUUUCAAGAGGUAGAAUUUUAGUAGCAAUAACAGUUUUGCAUGUCACGUUAGAUUGUAUAGUAGACUACUGCUUGAGUUUGUGAGGCUCUGAUCAACAGAGUUCCAUGAAAGGAAAACGAUGUUCUAGGUAAAGAGUAUAUAAAAGGUACUUUCUCUUAAAAAUAUGAAUGUGUGAAAUGUCAUUAUGUGAGAAAUAGCAUCUUUUGUGUAAGUUAAGGUUAAAACCGUAUUUGUUUCCUAGAGCAGAGGGGUAGCGCCAUUGAAUGAAACUUUUCUAAUGCUUAACCUGGAAACAAAUGUGCUGCUACUGAUGUAGUCCCACUGAAGCUCAUCAUGUAGGGAUUUUGCUUCUGAUGUUUAUUUAGCAACAGGCAUUUAUAAAAUGACAUACUCUUUGCUUUGUCACCUCAUCUUUCUCCAUUAGUUUCCUGGGUGUGUAUAUAGUUAGGAUUUUUAAAAGGAAAAAAAAAAAAAAAAAAAAAAACCCAAAAACUGGGAAACCUGUCGGGAAGUUAGGAUCUAAAGGUGUAAAGCAAAAGUAUUGAAGGGAAUAGCCAAAGACAACAGUUGUUUUUUUAAACUUUCUCUAAUGUAGCAGGGCUGAGGCCUUCGGCCUAUGACUGCUUAUUUUAACAAGAACCCAGCAAACUGUUUCUCAAUCUGAGGAAACACACAGCUCUCACAUCAGGAUAUAAUAGUAGAAUAAGGGUGACUUCUUACUCCCUUUUACCUCGUGUUCAUCUUGGCUAUUUAGCACCUUGAAGAUCCCUAAAAAUACUGGGUCUGUGUUCCCUUGUUUUCCCAGGGGAAAAAACUGCAAGUGGAGUGGAUCUGAGAAAAUAGUGCCUCUUGAAUAUUAAAUUCUUUUAUGGCAACUCCAAAGGAUAGAGAGAAAUUGAUUAUAGCUCCUCUUUAAAUGUCCUAUGCCAUCAGGUGGUGUUAGAGACAUUGAGAUAACCAAGCAAUAUUUCAGACAUCUGCACGAUCAUGAGGACAUCACUGCAUGUUACAGUGAUGUCAGCAGUUUAGUUACUUAGAACAAUUAAAAGUUACUCUUAACAGCCACGUUAAUAGUUCUAAAUGCUCUAAUGAGCUACAAGUUUUUGUAGUCUCAGAGUAUGUGUUGGAUUACUUUUCAAUGUUAUGGUCUCAUGUUUACCCUUUGUGUACCUGUGAUAUGCAAAAUAUGAAGAGACCCUUGGCCUCCAGGAGUUUACAUUCUCAUGGUGCUGCUGGUGCAAGCAAAUUGCUUCUAGUUUAUUCAGAACAUUGUUUGGCUGUUAAUUAUACCAUAUUUGGAAGGAUUUCUUGGCCAACAGUUUUCAGAAGCAGAGGGCUAUGCUAUACUUCAGGGCAUUGAUUUUGAGUUUACAUUGUAUUAGCUUUGCUAUUCAUAAACUCCUUUUCCCCAGGGAGCUGUGCAGGUAAUGCUCAUUAAUGUGAAUCAGAGAAAAAAAAAAGAAAAAA
rnacentral:lncRNA from 1 species